GAUGAACGCUGGCGGCGUGCCUAACACAUGCAAGUCGAGCGAGAUAAAUGUGAGUGGAGACUUCGGUCAAAGCAAUCAUUUUGAAAGCGGCGGACGGAUGAGUAACGCGUGAGCAAUCUGCCCCAUACAAAGGGAUACCCACUGGAAACGGUGAUUAAUACCUUAUAAGACCACGAAGUCGCCUGGCUUAGUGGCCAAAGAUUUAUCGGUAUGGGAUGAGCUCGCGUCUGAUUAGCUAGGUGGUGAGGUAAUGGCUCACCAAGGCGACGAUCAGUAGCCGACCUGAGAGGGUGAACGGCCACACUGGAACUGAGACACGGUCCGGACUCCUACGGGAGGCAGCAGUGGGGAAUAUUGCACAAUGGGCGCAAGCCUGAUGCAGCAACGCCGCGUGAAUGAUGAAGGCCUUCGGGUCGUAAAGUUCUGUCCUAAGGGAAGAAUACAGUGACGGUACCUUAGGAGGAAGCACCGGCUAACUACGUGCCAGCCGCCGCCGUAA
rnacentral:rRNA from 1 species